rnacentral:lncRNA from 1 species
UUCUUGUUGAGCGCUCAGGACCAAGACCUGUGGUUGUUACUUGUUAAAAUCACAGGGUUGUUUGCAAGUUAAUGCAUUACCUUUGUGGGGACAAGCCAGUGCCAUCUGUGAAGGUCUGUAGGAGCUGUGGUUGGGUCCUGCCCCAGCACAGUUUUCACAUGCUGCUUCUCCUGCCUUCAGACAAGUUCUUCUUUGUCACAGUGUUUGGCAUGCACUGAAAUUUCUACAGGAAUUGGAAGAUCAGGUGUGUAUCUUGGCCUCAGUCCUGGAUUUUCCUUCCAUGGAAAGAGGAGUCUGGGCUGAAAAAAAGAAUAACUUCCAAAGGAACCACAGCACAGCAUGGAAAAACAUGCCAGCAAUUGCACAGGAUGCAGUCUGGGUCGAUGCUGUAUCUUUAUGUGCUUGUCUGUCUGCUCAGUGUGGACACAUUUCCGCAUGCUGCACCAAUUCCUGUGCAUCUGUACCUCCUGAAGGGCACUGCCAGCAGGAAUUCUCCUCCUUCAGUCCUUGUGCCUGCCUGUGCUCAGAUCCUCUCGCCCACAGUUGCUGCCAAGCCCUAUCUGUGACCUCAGCCCAGCGAGCGCCUGCGUGGGCACAGCUUUGCACUUCUGGUGCUUCAGUGGCGUGUGAUGCUCACUGCCUUAUGCUCCAGUGGCUGAGAUCUGAUCUCUGA